GACGAACGCUGGCGGCGUGCUUAACACAUGCAAGUCGAACGGAAAGGCCCUGCUUUUGUGGGGUGCUCGAGUGGCGAACGGGUGAGUAACACGUGAGUAACCUGCCCUUGACUUUGGGAUAACUUCAGGAAACUGGGGCUAAUACCGGAUAGGAGCUCCUGCUGCAUGGUGGGGGUUGGAAAGUUUCGGCGGUUGGGGAUGGACUCGCGGCUUAUCAGCUUGUUGGUGGGGUAGUGGCUUACCAAGGCUUUGACGGGUAGCCGGCCUGAGAGGGUGACCGGCAACAUGGGGACUGGGAUACGGCCCAGACUCCAACGGGAGGCAGCAGUGGGGAAUAUUGCAAAAGGGGCGGAGGCCGGAUGAAGCAACGCCGGGGGCGGGAUGACGGCCUUCGGGUUGUAAACCGCUUUCGCCUGUGACGAAGCGUGAGUGACGGUAAUGGGUAAAGAAGCACCGGCUAACUACGU
rnacentral:rRNA from 1 species